rnacentral:rRNA from 1 species
UGUACUACCGAUAACCGUUUGAGAGAAGGGAUGACACAGUAGGAUAAGCUAAGCACACUGUUGGUUAUGUGUGCCCAAGCAUUGAGGCAGUCAAAGUAGGCAAAUCCGCUUUGAUAAUGCUGGGAUGGGAUGGGGAGCGAAAUUUAGUAGCGAAGUAGCUGAUUUCACACUGUCAAGAAAAGUCUCUAUCGAGGUUAAAGGUACCCGUACCGCAAACCGACACAGGUGGGUGAGGAGAGUAUCCUAAGGCCAGCGAGAGAACUGUUGUUAAGGAACUCGGCAAAAUGACCCCGUAACUUAGGGAUAAGGGGUGCCACCAUCA